ACUGGAGGACUGAUCAGAAUGAGUCUGAAGAGUGAGACUCAGGUGACAGUGGCCUCCGAACAGGAAAGCGGUGGUGAGAGCUGUCCUGCUUGCAGAAAGGCAAAGGGCUGACUGCGCCAUCCGACACGU
rnacentral:snoRNA from 1 species